rfam:Oikopleura dioica, whole genome shotgun assembly, reference scaffold set, scaffold scaffold_20
AAACCGGCCCUUUUAAGGGCCACAAAUACUAUUGAUGUGCUACCA